rnacentral:rRNA from 1 species
AACGAACGCUGGCGGCAUGCCUAAUACAUGCAAGUCGAACGAUCACUUCGGUGGUAGUGGCGCACGGGUGUGUAACGCGUGGGAAUCUGCCCUUGGGUUCGGAAUAACGUCGGGAAACUGACGCUAAUACCGGAUGAUGACGUAAGUCCAAAGAUUUAUCGCCCAGGGAUGAGCCCGCGUAGGAUUAGCUAGUUGGUGGGGUAAAGGCCUACCAAGGCGACGAUCCUUAGCUGGUCUGAGAGGAUGAUCAGCCACACUGGGACUGAGACACGGCCCAGACUCCUACGGGAGGCAGCAGUAGGGAAUAUUGGACAAUGGGGGCAACCCUGAUUCAGCAAUGCCGCGUGAGUGAUGAAGGCCUUAGGGUUGUAAAGCUCUUUUACCCGGGAUGAUAAUGACAGUACCGGGAGAAUAAGCCCCGGCUAACUCCGUGCCAGCAGCCGCAGUAA